rnacentral:rRNA from 1 species
AUUGAACGCUGGCGGCAGGCCUAACACAUGCAAGUCGAGCGAGCGGCGGACGGGUGUGAAAUGUCUGUGAAACUGCCUGAUGGUGGGGGAUAACUCCUGGAAACGGUAGCUAAUACCGCAUACCAUCAGAUGUGCCCAGAUGGGAUUAGCUAGUAGGUGGGGUAACGGCUCACCUAGGCGACGAUCCCUAGCUGGUCUGAGAGGAUGACCAGCCAGACUGGAACUGAGACACGGUCCAGACUCCUACGGGAGGCAGCAGUGGGGAAUAUUGCACAAUGGGCGCAAGCCUGAUACAGCCAUGCCGCGUGUGUGAAGAAGGCCUUCGGGUUGUAAAGCACUUUCAGCGGGGAGGCGUUACCCGCAGAAGAAGCACCGGCUAACUCCGUGCCAGCAGCCGCGGUAAUUC